AGUGAACGCUGGCGGUAGGCCUAACACAUGCAAGUCGAACGGCAGCACAGUAAGAGCUUGCUCUUACGGGUGGCGAGUGGCGGACGGGUGAGGAAUACAUCGGAAUCUACUUUUUCGUGGGGGAUAACGUAGGGAAACUUACGCUAAUACCUCAUACGUCCUACGGGUGGAAUCAAGGGAUCUUCGGACCUUUCGCGAUUGAAUGAGCUGAUGUCGGAUUAGCUAGUUGGCGGGGUAAAGGCCCACCAAGGCGACGAUCCGUAGCGGGUCUGAGAGGAUGAUCAGCCACACUGGAACUGAGACACGGUCCAGACUCCUACGGGAGGCAGCAGUGGGGAAUAUUCGACAAUGGGCGCAAGCCUGAUCCAGCAAUACCGCGUGGGUGAAGAAGGCCUUCGGGUCGUAAAGCCCUUUUGUUGGGAAAGAAAAGAAGCAGAUGAAUACACGGCCGUUCUGACGGUACCUAAAGAAUAAGCACCGGCUAACUUCGUG
rnacentral:rRNA from 1 species